rnacentral:rRNA from 1 species
AACAGGAUUAGAUACCCUGCUAGUCCACGCUGUACACGAUGUCAAUUUGGAGGUUGUGCCCUUGGGGCGUGGCUUCCGGAGCUAACGCGUUAAAUCGACCGCCUGGGGAGUACGGCCGCAGGGUUAAAACUCAAAUGAAUUGACGGGGGCCCGCACAAGCGGUGGAGCAUGUGGUUUAAUUCGAUGCAACGCGAAGAACCUUACCUACUCUUGACAUCCAGAGAACUUUCGGGAGAUGGAUUGGUGCCUUCGGGAACUCUGACACAGGUGCUGCAUGGUUGUCCUCAGCUCGUGUUGUGAAAUGUUGGGUUAAGUCCCUCAACUAGCGCAACCCUUAUCCUUUGUUGCCAGCGGUUCUCCCGGGAACUCACAGGAGACUGCCUGUGAUAAACUGGAGGAAGGUGGGGAUGACGUCGAGUCAUCAUGGCCCUUAUGAGUAGGGCUACACACAUGCUACAAUGGCGUAUACAAAGAGAAACGACCUCACGAGACCAAGCGGACCUCAUAAAGUACGUCUUAUCCCAGAUUGGAUCUGCAACUCGACUCCAUGAACUCGGAAUCUCUAGUAACCACAGAUCAGAAUGCUACAGUGAAGACCUUCUCAGUCCUUGUACGCACCGCGCGUCACACCAUGGGAGUGGGUUGCAAAAUAAGUAGGUAGCUGAACCUUCGGGAGGGCGCUUACUACUUUGUGAUUCAUGACUGGGGUGAAGUCGUAACAAGGUAACC